rnacentral:rRNA from 1 species
UACGUAGGGGGCUAGCGUUGUCCGGAAUCAUUGGGCGUAAAGCGCGUGUAGGCGGCUCGGUAAGUCCGCUCUGAAAGCCCGGGGCUCAACCCCGGGAGGCGGGUGGAUACUGUCGAGCUCGAGUCCGGAAGAGGCAAGUGGAAUUCCCGGUGUAGCGGUGAAAUGCGUAGAUAUCUGGAGGAACACCGGUGGCGAAGGCGACAUCCUGGACCGGUAUUGACGCUGAGGCGCGAAAGCCAGGGGAGCAAACGGG